GAGUAGAAACAAGGCUUCGGCCUGCUUUUGCU
rnacentral:misc_RNA from 1 species